rnacentral:rRNA from 1 species
UACGAAGGGGGCUAGCGUUGUUCGGAUUUACUGGGCGUAAAGCGCACGUAGGCGGAUCGUUAAGUCGGGGGUGAAAUCCUGGAGCUCAACUCCAGAACUGCCUUCGAUACUGGCGAUCUCGAGUCCGGAAGAGGUGAGUGGAACUCCUAGUGUAGAGGUGGAAUUCGUAGAUAUUAGGAAGAACACCAGUGGCGAAGGCAGCUCGCUGGGACGUGACCGACGCUGAGACGCGAAAGCGUGGGGAGCAAACAGG